GUCUGGAACAAGGAGAAAAGAGGGGAAACCCUCUCAUUCAACAAAUCAGUGGAAUUGGAAGGGAAAUUAAAGUUUGAUUGUAUGCAUGAACACCAAUCCUUGAUCACCUAAGAAUUUCCUACAUAAGGGAUCAAGGAAGAAAGCUCGAGUCGUUCCGGGUCGCAAACAAACAACGACAAAGGUAAAGCUACUUGAUGGAUGGCAUAUUUGGACCGAACACACUUGUGAUGCACGCUUCCGCGAAGUUGCUAGUCGUGGUCUAAACUUUUGUUAAAUGUUUCUUUUGUUUAAAACGGGUCUUAUGUAAGUAACUUAAUCCGGUAGUUCUUAGAUCUUGAACUUGUAGUUAAAUUGUAUGGGUUGUAAACUCUUUUUGUAACUAUUUCGUUAGUCAUGUUGAAGUAAAUGCAGAAUUUUAGUUAUGAACUAUUCGACCCGUUUGGUUUUUGUCA